UACGUAGGGUGCAAGCGUUGCCCGGAUUUAUUGGGCGUAAAGGGCGCGUAGGCGGCUCUGCACGUUCGUUGUGAAAUCGCCCGGCUCAACUGGGCGGGGUCAGCGGAUACGGCAGAGCUUGAGCAAGCUAGGGGGCAAUGGAAUUCCCGGUGUAGCGGUGUAAUGCGCAGAUAUCAGGAAGAACACCCGUGGCUAAGGCGGCUCUCUAGUACGGUACUGACGCUGAGACGCGAAAGCGUGGGGAGCGAACAGG
rnacentral:rRNA from 1 species